rnacentral:tRNA from 1 species
GGGGUGUUAGCUCAGUUGGUAGAGCAGCGGACUCUUAAUCCGUAGGUCGAGUGUUCGAGUCACUCACGCCCCA